UGGUCAUCAAGCAAAAGGCUGACAUCAAGCCCUGGUGCGGGGAGAACAAGGGGACAUGCCUAUGUUGACCUCAAGCACUUGUAAACGCGCCUCGCUGAGGAGGACCACGCUGCCGCCCACCGGAGCCUCACCAUGCACGCUAUGCUGCUCUGAGGAUAAUCGUGCCAGGAAUCUUUUCUACACUCUGUAUUCCUGAUUUCUUCAUGGAAAUGGUUCAAAGUAAGGAGCAGUGGUCGUUGAUUGGUCCCAGCGAAACUCCAGGUUAGAAAUUGUCUCAAUUUUUUGUGUACCUUUUUUGUAGAUCAUAUUUAGAACAACUCUCAACCAAUAUCUGUGUACAUUGUCUUCAAAAAAGUUUAUUUCCUGAAACUGCACUGAGUGGUAAGAAAAAAUGAAUUUAUAUUUCUUUGGUUGCCCGAGUUUUCUUGCAGUUGGAACUAAGAGAGAAAAGUCACUAAAGAGAGGACAUCACGGUUUCGAUAACAAUAAUGAGGCAAGGAAUUAGCCUCAUCAAUCACUAUGGAUCCUAUCGAGAAAAUGUAUAUAUAUUGGUUGCUGGGCACUUGAGUCAGUGAUGCUGAUGUUCCCACCUAGGGUCCUAAUAGUAAUAAUACUAAGAAAACCAAGUUGUACUGAUAAUCUUGACUAUUGUAUUGAUGUAGUUAUAUUCAAUUUCAAUAUGUUCUUCAUUGUUUCUUAUGUACACAUUUAUCAGCAACUGAGAUCUAUAUUUCUAAAAUGUAGAGAUCCAUUACAUCUACUACGGUUUCUCAUUUAGUCUUAAUGCAUUCUAUAUCCUCACUACGAAACAAUCAACCAAGUUUAAAUUGAGAAACUGAGGGGCUUAAUACAGGCCCAGCCACAUGAGAGGGGCUAGAGAAAAUGUUUAUCAAUUUGUUGAGCACCUUUCUUUGCUAAGGAGGUACACAUUUCUCUACCUUAAGGUAUAUCAUUUGGUUAACUUCCCUCACUAGGACCUGUCCUUUUAUGUUGGGUUUACUUCAGAGAUCACUGCAUGAGGGCAAAUAAUCUUGAUGAUGGUCUGGCUUUCCUCGUUGCUAUGAUAUCAAAUUUCACUCUGGAAGGGGAAAACUAAGUAUAUUGAUACAUCAAUUCUGGGGCAAGGAGGAAUCGUGUACUUGGAGGCGUAGAGGAGGGAGAGAAGGAAAUAAGAAAUAGAUUCACGACCAUAGCUUUGCAGGAAAACUAAGUAUAUAUUGUGCUCGAUUUAUUUGACAAGAUACAAUAGCUAAUGCUCAUUGUUCAAUGGCAAUGUAUUGUAAUUUUAGGAACCUAAACUGCAUGCUCUCUCGGAUAGAUGGUACUGGCGUUAGAAAGCACAAA